rnacentral:rRNA from 1 species
UACAGAGGGCCCAAGCGUUGUUCGGAUUCACUGGGCGUAAAGGGUGCGUAGGCGGUCGGGUAAGUCUGAUGUGAAAUCUCACAGCUUAACUGUGAAACUGCAUUGGAUACUAUUCGGCUUGAGAGUUGGAGGGGGGACUGGAAUUCUUGGUGUAGCAGUGAAAUGCGCAGAUAUCGGGAGGAACACCGGUGGCGAAGGCGGUUCUCUGGGCCUGUACUGACGCUGAGGAGCGAAAGCGUGGGGAGCGAACAGG